rnacentral:rRNA from 1 species
AUUGAACGCUGGCGGCAUGCUUUACACAUGCAAGUCGAACGGCAGCACGGACUUCGGUCUGGUGGCGAGUGGCGAACGAGUGAGUAAUACAUCGGAACGUGCCCAGUUGUGGGGGAUAACUACUCGAAAGAGUAGCUAAUACCGCAUGAGAACUGAGAUUGAAAGCAGGGGAUCGUAAGACCUUGCGCAACUGGAGCGGCCGAUGGCAGAUUAGGUAGUUGGUGGGAUAGAAGCUUACCAAGCCGACGAUCUGUAGCUGGUCUGAGAGCACGACCAGCCACACUGGGACUGAGACACGGCCCAGACUCCUACGGGAGGCAGCAGUGGGGAAUUUUGGACAAUGGGCGAAAGCCUGAUCCAGCAAUGCCGCGUGCAGGAUGAAGGCCUUCGGGUUGUAAACUGCUUUUGUACGGAACGAAAAGCUUCGGGCUAAUACCCUGGAGUCAUGACGGUACCGUAAGAAUAAGCACCGGCUAACUACGUGCCAGCCGCCGCAGUAACAC